rnacentral:rRNA from 1 species
UACGGAGGGUGCGAGCGUUAAUCGGAAUUACUGGGCGUAAAGCGCGCGUAGGCGGUUUUUUAAGUCGGAUGUGAAAGCCCCGGGCUCAACCUGGGAACUGCAUCCGAUACUGGAAGACUAGAAUGCGGGAGAGGGAGGUAGAAUUCCAUGUGUAGCAGUGAAAUGCGUAGAUAUAUGGAGGAAUACCAGUGGCGAAGGCGGCCUCCUGGCCCGGCAUUGACGCUGAGGUGCGAAAGCGUGGGGAGCAAACGGG